rnacentral:snRNA from 1 species
UUACAAAUAUUGAAGUUGGAAAGAUACAGAUAAGAUUGAAGCAUGGUCCUGCGCAAAAUGACACUCAAAGUCAUGAAGAGUUCAAAUUUUU